CAAUAGCGUAUAUUAAAGUUGUUGCAGUUAAAAAGCUCGUAGUUGGAUUUCUGGUAGGAGUGACCGUUCCGAACUUGAUUGUUCGUGUAUUGUGUUUUCUCCAGCCAUCCUUGUGGAGAACUUUUCUUGCAUUAAUUUGUAGGGAUUGGGACCCGCAUCGUUUACUGUGAACAAAUUAGAGUGUUUAAAGCAGGCAAUCGCUUGAAUACAUUAGCAUGGAAUAAUAAGAUAGGACUUUGGUACUAUUUUGUUGGUUUGCAUACCAAAUUAAUGAUCAACAGGAACAGUUUGAGGAUAUUCGUAUGAACAUGUCAGAGGUGAAAUUCUUGGAUUUUGAUCAGACGAACUACUGCGAAAGCAUUUAUCAAGGAUGUUUUCAUUAA
rnacentral:rRNA from 1 species